ACCCAGACCUCCACCACCAUCACACACAAACCUUGCACCACCAGCCUGGACCUCCACAUGGUGUCCCGCAUCCCUGUGCUGCCUUCCCACGGUUCCCUCCCAGGCCUGUGGUGGCAGGUCGCCGCCUCCAUCUUGACUUGGUUCGUGCAAAUCCCCUCAGCCUCCAAGGGUUCCCAGUCUGCGAGUUUGUCCGCACAUAUCUCCACCCACCGGAAGGUGUCUCGGCAGAUGAAGAAAUCUCUGAGUUGGGGUGGUUGGGGGGAAGGAUAGGUUGGCCUCCUUUUUCAGGGAUCCAGGAGCGUCCCACCCUGGGGCGCCCUCACCCCCCACCCCUCUUGACCAAGGGGUCCUAGGAGAUCAGAGGGCCGAGAGAAGCCCAUAGACCUGGAGACAGACUAGAAUGGCCAGGGGCUUGGCACAGAGGAGGGAGCUAAGGCUAUAGAGGUCGUCAUUCUGCAAUAUGUAAAAUGCCUUAAAUUAACAGCUGAACACCUUCAACUUGCUCAAUAUUAUGUCAAUUAUAUUCAAUAAAAAUAAAUCAUUUUUUAAAAGGGUGGUCAGGAACUCUA